rnacentral:misc_RNA from 1 species
ACGAACUUUCUCUUUCCUCAUCUUACCGUGUGUGUCUGUGUCGUUUUCUCGGACAGCACCGCCUCUCAUUGCGCCCUUGCCCUCUUUCCUCACACUAUUGUCCAUCGUUUCCAUUCAGUCCUUUCCAUUGGCGAGCCUUAGCCGCCGAAGGCACGCCCGUCUUCCUCCAGUGGACGACGAAACUCGAACACACGCGUGAUAGCCGCUUGGUGUUCUCUCUCUCUCUCUCGGGCCGCACGCACAGCAAGCCUGCUCAUCGGCUCCUCCGCCCUCCCUCUCCCCCUUCUUUCCCGUUCCACAACACAGCACGCACGAAUGGGCCUCACACCAGUUGAGAGGGCGUCGCAUUACGCGACGCGCAGCCCUCGGUUUGCCAAGAUCACAUCGAAGCACUUGAGCUACUUCCACAGCGUGCUGGAAAAGCCCUGCAGCGCCUCGAAGCGAAAGGGCAAGAUACUGACUGAUACGGAGGCGAUCGCGCCAUUCAAUGUAGACUGGAUGCGCCAAGUGCAAGGUGCCACCCCGGCUGUGCUGAUGCCAACCUGCGCCACUCACGUCAGCGAGAUUCUGAAGUACUGCCAAGCGGAGAAGUUGGCGGUAGUGCCGCAGAGCGGCAAUACGAGCAUGGUCUACGGCGCGGAGCCGGUGCACGAUGAGCUGGUCCUUAGCACGCAUCUGAUGAAUGCGACGCCCGUGGUGUCCAAGAACACGAUGUCAGUGGAAGCCGAGUCUGGUGUCAUCCUCCAGCAGUGCCAGGAGGCGUGCGCGAAGGAAGGGCUGCUCUUUCCACUCAUGAUGGGCUCGAAGGGAAGCUCGAUGAUUGGCGGCAAUGUUAGUACCAACGCCGGUGGCAUCCAUUUCGCACGCUACGGCUCCAUGCACUCGAACGUGCUCGGCGUGGAGGUGGUGACGGCAAAGGGCGACAUCUUGAAUAUGAUGUCGACGCUGCGCAAGGACAACGCCGGCUACGACCUGAAGCACCUGUUUAUAGGCAGCGAAGGCACCCUGGGUGUUGUGACCCGCGCGGCCAUCAAGCUCUACCCGCAACCCACGUCGAAGCAGCUGGCCAUGUUCCGCCUGAAGGACUUCGAGUCUGUGCUGGAGCUCUACCACCUGGCGAACAACCACCUCGCCGAAUGCUUGUCGGCGUUCGAGGUGAUGGACGGGGAGUCGAUGACGACUAGCCCAGCGAAGGAGGUGCCGUACGAGCGCACGUACAAGAACGACGUGUUCUGCGGCGGCAAGGACUUCACUUCUGCCUACUUCUGCGUUCUUGUGGAGACGCAUGGCAGCAACGAAAAGCACGACUUCGACAAGCUCUCCGAAUUUGUUGAGGCAGCUCAGGCGAAGCUUGGCGACAAGCUGAGUGGCGGUGGCCAGUACGAGCCCAUCCUCUCGCAAUCCGCUGCCCAGACGGAGCAGCUGUGGGCGCUGCGUGAGGGCAUCCCAGUGCACCUGGCGAGCGGCGGACUUAUCUACAAGUACGACGUGUCAUUCCCUAUUGACAAGUUCUACGGCGUCGUCGAGCACACGCGCGAGAUUCUGUACAAGCACCACAAGAUGGACCCGGCCGAGGUGAUCGUUGUCGGCUACGGGCACUUUGGCGACGGCAACGUGCAUCUGAACGUGGUGGACUUGACCCGCUCGCACGGCGAGCAGCUUGACGCGGCGCUGUACCCGGCCGUGUACGAGUACUGCGCCGCGCACGCCGGCAGCAUCUCGGCCGAGCACGGCGUGGGUAUGCAGAAGCGCGACUACCUACAUCUCUCCCGCACAAGCGAGGUGAUUCGACUCAUGACGGACGUUAAGGCGAUGAUGGACCCGAACGGCAUCUUGAAUCCAUAUAAGGUGUUGCCGCUGGAGCAAGAAAAAUAAAGCGAAGGGAGCCGGGGAGAGGGAUAGGUAGCGCGCGUGAUGCCGUAAUUCGAAACGGACGCUGCUGUUGAUCGCUUCCUGCUCGCCGCCUCUGACUGCGUCGCGCUGUGCGUGUUUGGGUGUCGUUUCCGCAGUCCUCCCCCGCUAUGGUCUCCGGUGAGGUGCCGUCAAGUGUCAUCGUGUCCUUUCUCCUCUAUCUCUGAGCGCAGAGCCGACCAGCAGGGACAUGACCGCCACGUAUGUGUUUUGUGUGUGGGUGCGUGUGUUCUAGGCCCUCCUACGCCAACGACGAGCCGGUCUUCGCCUUUGCACUGCUCGGCCCUGACAGUUUCUCGCGCCUUUUUGCUCGCUACCUGCUCCCCAUGACACGGGGGACACCUCAGCGUGUGGUAUCGCGUGGACCGGUAGCCCCACACUGUGUGUGUGUGCGGGAAGUCAUGCAGCCCCCCAUCCUCUCGCUAUCCCCUGCCGAUGCCGAGCCACCUUCCGGUGGUGACAGUUUCAAGCCCCGGACGGCGGCGCGUCGGAGCGACCUGCGCCAGCGCACACGUCUGUACCGUCCAGAUGAUGGGCAGCGUGCCAGCGUGGCUGGCGCGUAUCCCGCCCCCCGCCCUCGCACUGCCCACUGGUGCGGGGCCGGCGUGCCACCGCGUACGGGCUGCACCACGUGGGUGGCGACUGGUGGCACGAUGGGAGCGGCUGCGCGGCGGCCUGCGAGGCAGCGGGUGCUGUGUAGAGUUUGAGGCAGAGGCGGCGCUGGGCGGACUGAGUCGGCGCACUGCUGUACCGCGUGUGCGCCUACGGCUGCAGUGCAGGAGGCGAUGGGGGCCUGUGGCAGGCCGGCGGGCGGGCGGCGGCUCGGGCGUGGCGUUGGCCGCACGCUUGUCUGGGCAGCGAGUGGGUGCGCUGAGGACGCGGAAAAUGCCUUUGCGAGAUCUCAAGUCGGAGUAGGGAGAGGGUUUGCGCGAUGGAGAGCUGCAGGCGAAGCGGGUGUAGAUGCGGAUGCGUGUCUGCUCACAGGCAGCAGGUUGCCGAGUAAAGAGUCAAGAAGCGUAGGUUAAGAAGACGAAGAGCAACAGCAGCAUAAACAGUGCGUCCAUGGACCAGAGACACGGUGCGCCUCUGAUGUGGGAAAGGUGCGGAGCGAUUCGGCUCUCUUUUCAGGGCCAUUGACAACGGAGGCCAUGCGCCUGCUCCCCGUGCAUUAUGUUAUCCGCCAGUGUAGGCAUGCCUGCAUACUUUUCGAUGAUGUGAGAAGGAAGACCGAGCCGACAUGCACCUCUGCACUCGCCGCCUUCCUCAGCACGGGGGGGGGCGGAGGCGAAUUCGGGAGGGGGG